rnacentral:rRNA from 1 species
AUGGCCGGGCAGGACAAGAGGUGUUUGCCCUUGAUGCCGGCGUGCAACGGCGAGCACGGCGGCAAGAAGGCGCGGCACCAGGCCCUGGUGCCCGUGGUGAAGCAGGAGCCGCGGCAGGAGGCGGAGGAGGAGGAGUGGGAGGAGGGGGAGCUGACGUCCCAUGGCGGCAGCCCGGGAGCGGCGGAGGCCCUGGUGGGGGCGGCGCCCGCGCCCGCGCCGCCGCAGAUCGACGUGAGGAUGGACAUGGCGCUGCUCCACUGCCAGGCCUGCUUCCUCCCCCUCAAGCCCCGCGUGUUCAAGUGCGAGGCCGGGCACGUGGUGUGCGGCUACUGCCGCGGCGCGCACGGCGAGGCCUGCGGCCGCGCCGACACGCACUGCCCCGAGCUGGACGCCGUGGUGGGCGGCACCAAGGUGCCGUGCGCGUACCGGGACUUCGGCUGCGACCGGUUCCUCGUGUACCACGGCGCCGCGGAGCACAAGCGCGCGUGCCCGUGGAUGCCCUGCUCCUGCCCGCAGCCCGGCUGCGCCUUCCUCGGCCCCCCGGCGGCGCUCCUCGACCACUGCUCCGCCGAGCACUCCCGGCCCAUCAUCCAGGUGCGCUACGGCCGGCCCUGGACGCUCAGCCUGCCGCUGGCGCAGCGCUGGCACGUGGUGGUCGGGCAGGAGGACCGGAGCGUCUUCCUCGUCUCCCUGGCCGACCUGGGCGUGGCGGCCACCGCGGUGUCGCUGCUCUGCGUCAGGUCCGACGGCGCCGUCGCGCUGCCCGCGGCGCCCCACUUCUGGUGCAAGCUCUCGGUGGAGCACCCGCGCGGCGACAAGGACGAGAUGAUCAUGAUGGCUUCGGCCGUGAGCAGCAGCCCCCUGUCCGCCGGCCUGCCGGUGCCCGGCCAGGGGAUGUUCUUGGCGGUGCCGCACUUGUUGAUGUCCGGCGACGUGCUUGCCAUCAGCGUCCGCAUUGAUCAGCUCCAGCCUCCUCCUCCUGCCUCCACUGCUGUCGCGGGCGGGGCACCAGCGCCAGCAGCACCAGCCCAUGCUAGGACAACAACCAGGAGGCUCCAAUGA